AGAGCUCCAAAGGAGGAAGCUGAGCUGGAGGAUUUACCUGACAAAGGCAGUGGGACUUCAGCGUAAGGACCUAGUGCAGCCCAAGUGAAGGAGCCACAUGCACCUUUGGGUUCAGUGGUGGAAACCUCCCCCGAAACCAUCAUCUGCAGGAUCUCUCUGAGUCAGAGACAAAACCACGUAAUCUCUGCACUGUUUCUAG
rnacentral:lncRNA from 1 species